UACGGAGGGUGCGAGCGUUGUCCGGAAUCACUGGGUGUAAAGGGCGCGUAGGCGGCGCAGGAAGUCAACGGUGAAAGUUCAGGGCUCAACCCUGAAUCGGCCGUCGAUACUCCUGGGCUCGAGCACUGUAGAGGCAGAUGGAAUUCCGGGUGUAGCGGUGGAAUGCGUAGAGAUCCGGAAGAACACCGGUGGCGAAGGCGGUCUGCUGGGCAGUUGCUGACGCUGAUGCGCGACAGCGUGGGGAGCAAACAGG
rnacentral:rRNA from 1 species